rnacentral:rRNA from 1 species
AUACGUAGGGGGCAAGCGUUGUCCGGAAUCAUUGGGCGUAAAGCGCGUGUAGGCGGCUCGGUAAGUCUGCUGUGAAAGCCCAGGGCUCAACCCUGGGAUGCCGGUGGAUACUGUCGAGCUCGAGUCCGGAAGAGGCGAGUGGAAUUCCUGGUGUAGCGGUGAAAUGCGCAGAUAUCAGGAGGAACACCAAUGGCGAAGGCAGCUCGCUGGGACGUGACUGACGCUGAGACGCGAAAGCGUGGGGAGCAAACAGGA